rnacentral:lncRNA from 1 species
AUUAAAUAGCUCCAGAUGCUGAGUGAAAAGGAUAUUUUAAAUCAGAAAGACACUUUUCUGCAUUGGGCCACAUGAACCCUAGAAUCUAAAAACCAGGCUUGGCCAGGAAGAUGUGGAGCUUCUGUCCUUUUAAAAUCACCCGGGUAGAGAAAGAGACAACAUGGGCGUUACGGAGGCUUCAGGCUCCCUGGCGAGAGGCACAGAAGGAAGCCCUGUCGGGUCAGGUCAAGCUGGGAGUGCACUCUGUGUGCGUGCCUACCAACAAAGCCCCAAAUACCUGGGAUCGCCCAACGACAGUGGCUGGAGUAAGAGAUGGGAGCAGGAAGACUUGAAAUGGUGCAGAAGAUACAACCCCAUCCGUCAGGAGUGAAAACAAAGAAGAGGAUGGCAUGACUUGGCUUUAGUGUUGACAGCAGGUAUUACAUAACAUCUCUUUGUAGAAGAAGAGGGUAGAUCUUAGACGUCAAUUAUCCUUCCUACUUUUUGAGGAACUAUGUAUUUCUGUAGAAUUAAGAAAUACGGUCCCCAAACGCCCACCUAGCUUGUUGUACCAAAUUACAAUUAGAGACAGCAUGACCUAACUGAAAGAGACCCAGCCAAGACCUUGGAUAAAUAGCUUAGUUUCCCUGGGGAAGCAGGGGAAGGAGGUGUGGGGUAAAUUCCUGCUUCUACUACUACCUAUGACCACAAGUAUCUUUUCUUACUCGUUUCUAGUGGGUUUUUUUUUUUUUUUUUCUUGGAGGGGAAGGGAAAUUUCUCAAAUAACCCAUGUAAAAAAUAUUUUGUAAACUAGGAAGGAUUAUUAUCACUUGGGCAU